CAGGGCAGUGCUUUCCUUUGAGAGCACAGCCCUAAAUGCGAGCUCUUCCUGUGGUCUGCCUGUCGGUGGCAAAAUUUAAACAUCAGGAGCCUGUGAGGAAGCACAGGGUCCGAAAUCAAUUCUGCAGUCAUAUGGCUCAGGAGACUGUAUUUCUCUGAAAGAGACACCUCUCAGAAGUGUCACAAGCAUGGGAUGAAGCCAGAAGACAAUGAACAGGGUCUUCAUCACUGCUGCUCUUGGGUGUGUGUGUAGUGAGAUGAGGUCACUAAUUGGAUCAACAGAAGAGAUUUUUAAAACAGUUCACACAUGCGGAGCGCACACCGGAGCAAUAACUGUGGCAUCGCUGACAGCUGGGUCAUGGCAAUGGCUUGACGUUUCAGCCCAACCCCUUCAGCAGAACGAACCGUAAGAACUUUGGGCCACAUUCAGCACGGCUGAUUUAAGAAGAUAUGAUUUAUGCCGCCAUCCGCUCUUGUCUCAGUGUGCCUUGGAAGAUGACAAGAGUCUUCUGCUGGAGCACUGUCUAAUUAAUAUUGCUGCAGGAAGAGAGGGAAGCUGUUAUCCCGCGGUCGGAAACCAGAGGGAAGGCAGGACACCCGUGCUGAAGCAUCUGGUUUGAAGCGAUCGGAUGUGUGCCCACCGACCGGCUGCUGCGCACGCGGGCAGCUCCCGCUGCUUCGCUUCGCUUCGCUUCCCUCCCGCGCCAGGCCUGCGAAAUAGCCACAGCCUCCUUAUUCCGCUUUCUGCCAGCAUCUCUGCGCUGCCUUAACGCGAUCCUCGGUUUUGUUCUUUUUAUCGCCUCACAAAGAACAAAAAAGUGAAGAGAUUUUGGGAUGGUUGCACUUCAUCUCCAGGCGCUGAGGAGAUUACGCCUCUGGCUUUUAAAUCGCUUGAUUUCAAAAGAUUAUCUGUUAACUACCUAUAUCGCUACGAUCUUAUCAAAAAGCAAUUGUUCAGAAAUGCUUUAGAAGGCAUUAAUUCAGAAUUAGGUAACUCUUUAGAGAACAUUUCAAACGCACAAGUAUAUUACGAGUUUAAUUUUUGGAAGAAAAUUAAUCUUUCGUAGUUCAUAGUUUUGUGCAAGUACUGCGUGUAGCUCUUCUGAAAGCAAAUUGUUAAACGGCGUUGCCAGCAUGAUUCAGCAUCAGUUAGGAAUGGCACCAUUGCCAAAAAAAGUGAGUCAGGCUCAAGCAGGCGUUAAAAUUACAGGCGAGAUGCGUCCAUCCACUGAUUAUGAGGCACCAUUUGAAAGUACGAAACAUGACAAGUCGUCUGAGUCAGAGCCACGUUUUGUUCCCCAGGCAAAUAGAAAUGUAAUGGUUUAGUUAAAAGUAUGAAGCUUUAAAAAUAGAUAGGCUCUUCCUUAGGUGGUAUAAACAAAUAGUGGUCCCUAAUGCUUCAUGUUGUUAAGCAGCUAGGUUCACAGAUACAAUAAGGGCUAACGUGGAUGUGCAGGAAAUAACAACAACAAAUUGCCUGCAAUUUUCAGCUGAAACGGUGACAUCUUCUGCAGCCAGGAUUAUUCCUCCAUUUUUUUCCUGAAAAAGGAGAUAUUUUAACUGUCACUUAAAAUAUACGUCUGAUUUUUUUUUCUUUCCUUGUCUGCUCAGCCCUUUUUCUGCACGCCUGGCGAGGUCAGCUCUGCUCUUCGGGGGGCGAGUUUCAGCACUGGAACCAGACUGGAUUGCUUCUUGCCGUAUGAAGAUCCACAUGGACUGCUGAAUUUGGCCCACAGCUUGCAUCGGAGCUCGCUCUUCUGGAUUUGUGCGAUACGAGGAAUUCUGAGAACAUCAACAAUUCUGCAGAACGUGAGCAUCUUUCCUAAUGGGUCUUGCUGUAACACCUGAAUUAAAAAAGAAAGGUGAAAUAAAAGGCUAUAAUAGGAA